rnacentral:rRNA from 1 species
GACGAACGCUGGCGGCGUGCCUAAUACAUGCCAGUCGAGCGAAGUUUUUCUGGUGCUUGCACUAGAAAAACUUAGCGGCGAACGGGUGAGUAACACGUAAAGAACCUGCCUCAUAGACUGGGACAACUAUUGGAAACGAUAGCUAAUACCGGAUAACAGUAUUUCUCGCAUGAGAGAUAUUUAAAAGUUGGUUAUGCUAACACUAUGAGAUGGCUUUGCGGUGCAUUAGCUAGUUGGUGGGGUAAAGGCCCACCAAGGCGACGAUGCAUAGCCGACCCGAGAGGGUGAUCGGCCACACUGGGACUGAGACACGGCCCAGACUCCUACGGGAGGCGGCAGUAGGGAAUCUUCCGCAAUGGGCGAAAGCCUGACGGAGCAACGCCGCGUGAGUGAAGAAGGAUUUCGGUUCGUAAAGCUCUGUUGUUAGGGAAGAAUGGAUAUGUAGUAACUAUACAUGUAAGAGACGGUACCUAACCAGAAAGCCACGGCUAACUACGUG